rnacentral:rRNA from 1 species
UGGGGAAUAUUGCACAAUGGAGGGAACUCUGAUGCAGCGACGCCGCGUGAACGAAGAAGGCUUUCGAGUCGUAAAGUUCUUUUAUAUGGGAAGAUAAUGACGGUACCAUAAGAAAAAGCCCCGGCUAACUACGUGCCAGCAGCCGCGGUAAUACGUAGGGGGCUAGCGUUGUCCGGAAUCACUGGGCGUAAAGGGUUCGCAGGCGGAAAUGCAAGUCAGGUGUAAAAGGCAGUAGCUUAACUACUGUAAGCAUUUGAAACUGCAUAUCUUGAGAAGAGUAGAGGUAAGUGGAAUUUUUAGGGUAGCGGUAAAAUGCGUAGAUAUUAAAAAGAAUACCGGUGGCGAAGGCGACUUACUGGGCUCAUUCUGACGCUGAGGAACGAAAGCGUGGGUAGCAAACAGG